rnacentral:rRNA from 1 species
AUCAUGGCUCAGGACGAACGCUGGCGGCAUGCCUAACACAUGCAAGUCGAACGGACAGAACAGGGAAGCUUUUCGGAGUGGAACUGGAAAGUUAGUGGCGGAUGGGUGAGUAACGCGUGGACAACCUACCUUGUAAAGGGGAAUAACCUCGAGAAAUCGAAGCUAAUACCCCAUAAUAACCUUGAAUCGCAUGAAUUAAGGAGGAAAGGCGGCCUUAGCGCUGUCGAUACAAGAUGGGUCCGCGUCUGAUUAG